rnacentral:misc_RNA from 1 species
AGCACUCAAUUCCAAAGCCAGCUGAAUUUGAUAUUCCUCCUCAAUUUCAGGAUCCCUCGAAGACCCUGAGUCACGCCUGGCUGCAUCAGAAACAUCCAAACCACUACUACUAAUCGAAUCAGAUGGCUCGGUCCUCUCUCCUCUAGUCACAUUUGAAGAUGAUGGUGGACUAGGACUUUUUUUAUUCAACCAGGGAAUACCUGAGAAGGGUUUAUGCUCAUUGGACCUAGAGGGUAAAACCCUAUCAGGGGAAGAUGCAUCAAUGGACUUAUUGCCCUUUGAUGAAUUUGACCCUUCUGCAUCUUGUGAUUGAUUAGACAUGAUGUGGAGCUUCUUAAGAAAGUUCUUCAUGUUAUUUCACUGAGCU